rnacentral:rRNA from 1 species
UACCCGCAGCACAAGUGGUGGUCAUUAUUCUUGGGCCUAAAGCGUCCGUAGCUGGCCUGUUAGAUGCCUGGGUAAAUCGAUGCGCUCAACGUAUCGAACUCCGGGUAGACCGGCAGGCUUGGGACCGGGAGAGGCGUGAGCUACUCGGGGGGUAGGGGUAAAAUCCUGUAAUCCUCCGGGGAGGACCAGUGGCGAAGGCGUCACGCUAGAACGGCUCCGACAGUGAGGGACGAAGCCCUGGGGCGCAAACCGG